UCGCUCCCUCUCUCCCCUACAAGCCAGUCGUAUUGAGUUUCCCCGGGCUACCUUCCACGAACAUCAAGGAAUGCAGCAGAGCUGAAUGUUACAUCGACCCCAGCAGCACCACCACGGAAAACUGUUUGUCCACUCUUUUCAUUUCUCAGCACAAGCAAGCAUCUAAAGACUUUGCACCUGUUCUGGUUAGCCCUGGCAGAUGCAGUCUGUAUUUAUAUUAAUAGAAUGAUGUUUUCAUAACAAAAUGGAUGUGCAGCAAUUGUGGCACUCACUCUGGAUGCUCUCACAAGUGCAGCGACUGCGGGGGAGGGGUAGCUCUUACAUAAAGUCCCGCGGCAAGGGUCAAAGACGCGCAGAUCCCAAGCUGAGUCGUCGGGACAGUUGGAGAACUUUUUCAGGCGUGACCAGAGUCAAGUAUUGGCAAUUGAAUCAGAUACUCGCGAUUUUCACUAUGUGGAGACAGCAUGGCAGAGUGGAAGAAGCUGUGAAGGAAAAACCUGGAGACCUCUGUUCUAGUUCCUGCUCUGCCAGACCCCACCAUCAGGGCUUUGGAUAAGUCCUCGACUCCCUCUGUGGAUCUCAGCGGACUCCGUUAUAAAGGCCCUUCAGCCUACUAUGCGAACUGGUGCUGUCCUUUGGCACCCCCUGCUGGUGUCUACGGCUGUUGCACGUGCCUUCACCGGGAGGUCCUUGAAGAUACGAAGGCUGCGAGUGGGAACCCACCGGGAGAGGCCAGACUGCUGUUCUCCAGGGAAGAAAGCAAACCAAACACUCACUGUUGUUACAUUACAACUUUUAACACACUGCUUUUUAGAGACUUAACUGAGCAUGCUGAUUGUUUUUUUCAAGCUGUACUAAUCGGACACUUUAUUGGCAUAAACACUAUAAAUGCUUAGCCUGCUUCAAGUUGAAGAUUUACAAAAUAGCACGGACUUGUACAUUAUUGUGGGGAAAUAAGACAUAAUAUAGGAAGUAUUCAGGUAUUUGUUAGAAGUGUUUCCUUUGCACACGAUUCGUUCAAAUUACCAGAGAUACUAGAUAACCUAUCCCCUGAUGGUACCUUCCCUAAAUGUACAUUGAGAUAAUAAGAAAGCACUAAAAGUUUAUGGAGACUUUCUUUUCAUGUAAAAAAUAGUUUACAGAGAAUACUCUGAAAGUCAAAAGUCAGUUAUUGUGAAAAAGUCAAGAAAAUGAUUUUUUUGUUGUUGUUACUGAAUGGCGGGUACAUAUAUUUUAAGAAUUGUGAGUCAUCAGAAAUCAGAUUCUACCCUCAGUCACGAUAACUUCCAUCGAAGCUAACAAUUACAGUGUAUUUGCCCUGAUCGCGUCAGUCCCACUCUUUUUGCUUAGAAUUCUCUUCUGUUCCUUUCACUUUGAAGCUUAGUAAGAAAUCGUCUGAGUAUAAAAGCAAGCACAACAUUUUAAACGGAAGUGUCAAAAAUUGUGACUAUUCAAAGAAAUCAGGCAAAUCCAGUGUAAAGGAGAAAUGGAAAACCUCACAAAACUUCAAUUACCCUAAACGACGUUGCCUGUAUUGACACUAUCGUGUGUUAAUACUAAGUACUUUCGAGCCUAAUUCAUCUCCGUGUACUUCGCUUGAUAUGAUUAUAGCCACAAUAACUGUUUCCAGGCAGAGUACGAAGAAGGAAAAGUCACAGGAGAGAGAGAAGUCAAUAUUCCCUAAAGGAGAAAAACAUUUCUCUGCCAUGUUUACUUGCCUCCUUCUGGCAAAAGGCUGUUAGCCGUUGUGCCACACAGUCCAACCAGAGCUUGCCUCCAGAACAAAAUAUAUAUAUGCAUAAUUGCAUCUCAGAGAUUUGGUUUGGAAAAUCUGCUUUUGUUCCCGAUGCCUCGCCUCUUCUUAACCACGUUUAUAAGCAUUUUCCAAGCUCUUUACGAGCAUUUUGCCUGCCUCUCCACACUCCUAAAUAUCACCCUCUGCUCCUUACGGCCGGCCACGUUUUCAGCCUUGGCCAAGGAAUAAGACGUUGGUUCGCCUCAAAGGCUGCCAUUAAAUUUACCUCAUUUAUUGACCAGCAGGAGGUGCACCCACCCUACCGAGGUCAAUGUUAACCAUAAUACUGCGGAGCUCAUUGGCGCCCCAGACUGCUACCCUGUUUAAUGACUGUUGGGCCCCGUGGGCCAGGUAAAUUCUACUGUUGACAUAUUGGUGGCAAUGCCCUUGGAACACCUUUGAUCCAUUAACAUGCGCUCUCCGUUCAGGGAUGUAUUUUACUGUGUGUUGAAUAAAAAUAACCAGAUAUGGAGAAGUGACGGAAGCAAAGUGAGCUCCUACUGGAAGAAUAAGCCAUUUAUACUUCUCUGCAGUAGAUACCAGGGCUUAUCAGGACAUCAAAUUUCAGGAAAAUCAGGCCUGGAGAACUCCGCCGUCUGGAUAGUACUAUCCCAUAGGUCCUCUGUUGCCCCUGAGGUGGGCAGUAGUAAACCGGCCAUGAACCUGCCAGCUCACUGAAAGGCAUAUCAGGCAAUGAUCCCUUCCGUGUUCCCGUUUUAUCCUGCAGAGUUGCCUCUCUCAGGCCUGGCCUGCAGUGGCCAGGUUGGAUGGUCAGGGCUCCCAGUCUGAAUGCUGACUCAGGCCUUCUCUCUCCGCUGCCAAUAAUAGUUCGCCUUUGCGCCAAAUUUAGUGGUGGUUUCUUAUGAUGUGGAUACCUGUCCAGCCGGGAUUGGACUGUGACCGCAAGCCAUUUUCCUUAAGCCACAGAAUAACUGUCGGAGGGUACCUGCUGAUCGUUACUACUUGCCAGGCUCAGCCGCCUCCAAGUGAGACACUUACACAUCCCAUGGUGGUUUCACCGAGAAGCCCUCUCCCACAAAGAAGCAAAUGUUAUCGGUAUGUAAAAACUCCUUGGGGGGAUAAUUGGGUGUGCGAUCUUCAGUUCUUUGAAAAAUUAACAAGCAGAACAAUAUCCAACGCCAUCAAAAUCCUCCUGCCCUUCUCUCCCGUACAGAUGGGGUCUUUUUUAUUCUGGUAUUAAUGGUUUUCUGUGUCAUGGCACUUGUGUACCCUGCUGUUAAAAAAUUAAAAUUAAAACAUUAAAAUUAAAAAAAUUA